rnacentral:miRNA from 1 species
UGUCUGUUUGUGCGCUGGUAGAAGA